AGCAGCCGCGGUAAUUCCAGCUCCAAUAGCGUAUAUUAAAGUUGUUGCAGUUAAAAAGCUCGUAGUUGAAUUUCGGGAUCAGUAUGUUGGUCGUGCUUCGGUACGUACUGUCAUUACUGGUUUCUACCUUCUGAAGAACCUUGAUGUCAUUAAUUUGGUGUCUUGGGGAAUCAGGACUGUUACUUUGAAAAAAUUAGAGUGUUUAAAGCAGGCAUACGCUUGAAUACAUUAGCAUGGAAUAAUGAAAUAGGACGUUUGAUUCUAUUUUGUUGGUUUCUAGGAUCGACGUAAUGAUUAAUAGGGAUAGUUGGGGGCAUUAGUAUUCAAUUGUCAGAGGUGAAAUUCUUGGAUUUAUUGAAGACUAACUACUGCGAAAGCAUUUGCCAAGGAUGUUUUCAUUAAUCAAGAACGAAAGUUAGGGGAUCGAAGACGAUCAGAUACCGUCGUAGUCUUAACCAUAAACUAUGCCGACUAGGGAUCGGAUGAUGUUAAUUUUAUAAUGACUCAUUCGGCGCCG
rnacentral:rRNA from 1 species